AAAUAACAAAAUAAAUUCUGAUAAUUCGAUAAAUCAUGGAAUACUGAAAUACAAGUCUUAAAUAAGUGUUAGAAAAGAUAUGUGAGCAAAGAAUUGAGUUUUAAUGAACUUUAGUACGUUUUUUUAGAAAAGUCGCCGAUUAGAGUUUUUCGGCGAAUUUGCCGAGAAAUAUUAGGAAUUUCCAUUGGAAAAUAAUUUAUAUGGAAUCUAGAGAUCAAAAGAAGUAUAAUAUAAGUAAUAUUGUGCAAGAAAUUAAAAUUUAAUCGAUGUUCGUAUAGAGAAUUCGAUAGAAGGGCAUUUCGGUCUUUUUUCAUUAAUUAAAUCAAUUCUUUCUCUUUAUUUGGAAAGUGCCGAUUUUUACUCAUCAACUAGGAACGAAAUGGCUGCAAAUUUUAUUUUAAAUAUUAGAGAGAAGUCUAGAGACAAGGCUUUACAAGUAGUUUAACUAAAUGUUGCCAAAUGUCUCCAUUUUUAGCCAUGGAAAAAUACUAAUGUUGGGAGACUAAAAAACAUGAGAUAUCAUCUUUCUUCCUCAUUCUUCACCUCUAUAAAAAAAUUGGCAGCCACCUCUCUCAAAUCACCAUGGCUAUUUCCUCUCACAUUUUCUUAAGUUUAUUGGCGAAUCGAACAUGUAAUCGCGUAAACGUUAAGAAAUCAAGCGAAGGAGCCUAUAGCGUGUUUUGAACACAAAAGGAAUGGACCUAGAAGAUAGCGAAGGGUAGGAAGGUGAAAUAGGCUUAUAUUCAUAAGCCUGUGAGGUUGGAGUUGAUCUUAUGUCAUUGGUGUUGCGCAGCUUUGCAUCUUUGGUGAGUCACUGGUGGUCAACUUGGUUUAGUAGUCGUGGCAUGUUGUGUAAUAGUUUAAUCUUUAAUCUUUCGUUGGAUAAAUGUUAAGUUUUUAAUUGUGCUUUUAAGCUAAAAAGAAAAAAGGAAAAUUUCAGCACGGGUUUUCGAUACUGAAACGUGACAUCACUUAUUCGGUGGGUUUACCUACCGGUUAAGGGGUGUUACAAAUUGUUUGCAUGAUCGUGCCAUACUUGCUCCUACUUUAGAGGUUGUUGAUGAGGUUAACCAAUUCAUGAUGUCGUUGGAUCAGUCUCAGUGUCGAGUUUAUUUGAGUUCUGAUAGUAUCUCAAACUCAGAUUUGACCUCAAAUGGCUUAGCUGAGAUACAUUCUAAUGAAUUUUUAAAUAAGUUGAAGUGUUCAGGUACACCUAAUCAUGAAUUGUUGUUGAAAGUUGGUACUCCUGUGAUGUUGUUAAGGAAUAUAGAUCACUCGAAUGGAUUGUGUAAUGGCACCAGACUGGUAAUUACGCGUUUGGGUGAUUAUGUUUUGGAGGGACAAGUAUUGGGUGGCCAUAAUGUUGGUCAUAAAGUUUUGAUUCCCCGAAUGUCUUUAAUACCAUCUGAUCCAAGGUUGCCAUUCAAAUUCAGAAGCAACCAAUUUCCUUUGGUUGUGUCGUAUGCAAUGACCAUUAACAAAAGUCAAGGUCAAUCUCUGUCUCAUGUUCGAUUAUUUUUACGAAAACCAGUGUUCAGUCAUGGACAGUUGUAUGUUGCUAUAUCUAGAGUUACGUGUCGUGGAGGUCUCAAGAUUUUAGUUUGUGGAGAUGAAGAUGAUAAUAGAAGCGACACUACUGUUAAUGUUGUUUACAAAGAAGUUUUUCAAAACUUAUGAACUAUUGGUUGGUUUGUUGUUGUUUUCUAAUUUUUUUCUUUAAUCUCUACUCAAAUAACAUGUUCUUUA